AAUGGCAAACAGAGGAGGAUGAGCUGAUGCUGUUAUGCAUGAAGAUUUGCAAAUAGGGAAUGUAAGACAUGUCACAGAAAGGUUGCAUGAAUUCAUUCCAAGUCUUGCGUGGACAAAACAACAAGACAAAGGUGACGGCGGCCUUUGUGUGUUGAUACAUCUUUGCAGAUGUAUGAAGCUAUUUAACAACAAGUUGUGCUUAUCUGUAGGAAAGGCAACACAUCUAAUCAGUCAGCUGUCAAAAUGCCUAGAUGCCGACUAAGAUCUGAGAUCAUAUCACUUACAAAGCAUGACUGGAGGACAUGGCUGCUGAAAACCUGAAUGAUCAUGUGAUAGAAGUUGAUAGUAAAGUAUGCAGAAGCAACCAUCACAACCGGAAGCAGUCCCCGCAUCUACGAGGUCACAGUAUAAUUUCCUUUGCAUCCACAAGUUUCUAGAGGUGUGGUUGUUGAGCUAAAAGGAUCUUCUGCUAGGAUAUUUUUCACUUUUGUCUACGAUGUACUGUAAUACUUAUGAAUCUACAAAUCUAUGUAUGUGUGCAUCUAGACUUGAUAAAUGGUUGUGCUUUUGGCUGUCCUGUUACUGGACUUGUAUGCCCAUGUGUGCAUCUAGGCACGCAUGAUGAAUCUUCUUUGUGCUUUUGGCUAUC
rnacentral:rRNA from 1 species